GCCGCAGCGAUAGCUCAGUGGGUAAAGCGCCAGGUGAGUAACCUGAGAGCUAUUAUCCGCGCGGGUUCGAAUCCCGCCUGUGGCA